GUAUGAAGAAGGCCUUCGGGUUGUAAAGUACUUUCGGUAAUGAGGAAGGUGGUGUAUCUAAUAGGUGCAUCAAUUGACGUUAAUUACAGAAGAAGCACCGGCUAACUCCGUGCCAGCAGCCGCGGUAAUACGGAGGGUGCGAGCGUUAAUCGGAAUGACUGGGCGUAAAGGGCAUGUAGGCGGAUAAUUAAGUUAGGUGUGAAAGCCCUGGGCUCAACCUAGGAAUUGCACUUAAAACUGGUUAACUAGAGUAUUGUAGAGGAAGGUAGAAUUCCACGUGUAGCGGUGAAAUGCGUAGAGAUGUGGAGGAAUACCGGUGGCGAAGGCGGCCUUCUGGACAGAUACUGACGCUGAGAUGCGAAAGCGUGGGGAGCAAACAGGAUUAGAUACCCUGGUAGUCCACGCUGUAAACGAUGUCGAUUUGGAGUUUGUUGCCUAGAGUGAUGGGCUCCGAAGCUAACGCGAUAAAUCGACCGCCUGGGGAGUACGGCCGCAAGGUUAAAACUCAAAUGAAUUGACGGGGGCCCGCACAAGCGGUGGAGCAUGUGGUUUAAUUCGAUGCAACGCGAAGAACCUUACCUGGUCUUGACAUCCACAGAAUCUUGCAGAGAUGCGAGAGUGCCUUCGGGAACUGUGAGACAGGUGCUGCAUGGCUGUCGUCAGCUCGUGUUGUGAAAUGUUGGGUUAAGUCCCGCAACGAGCGCAACCCUUAUCCUUUGUUGCCAUCGGUUAGGCCGGGAACUCAAAGGAGACUGCCGUUGAUAAAGCGGAGGAAGGUGGGGACGACGUCAAGUCAUCAUGGCCCUUACGACCAGGGCUACACACGUGCUACAAUGGCGUAUACAAAGGGAGGCGACCUCGCGAGAGCAAGCGGACCUCAUAAAGUACGUCUAAGUCCGGAUUGGAGUCUGCAACUCGACUCCAUGAAGUCGGAAUCGCUAGUAAUCGUGAAUCAGAAUGUCACGGUGAAUACGUUCCCGGGCCUUGUACACACCGCCCGUCACACCAUGGGAGUGGGUUGCACCAGAAGUAGAUAGCUUAA
rnacentral:rRNA from 1 species